AUUGAACGCUGGCGGCAUGCCUUACACAUGCAAGUCGAACGGUAACAGGUCUUCGGAUGCUGACGAGUGGCGAACGGGUGAGUAUACAACGGGAAGGGGCUUGGAGGGGGGGGUUAACUAUUGGAAAGAGGGGCAAUAACCGCAGGGGAUCUACGGUGGAAAGCAGGGGAUCGCAAGCCCUCGUCUUCCUAAGGCGGCCGAUGGAAGAUUAGGUGGUUGGUGGGAUAAAAGCUUACAAAGCCGACGAUCUGUAGCUGGUCUGAGAGGACGAUCAGCCACACUGGGACUGAGACACGGCCCAGACUCCUACGGGAGGCAGCAGUGGGGAAUUUUGGACAAUGGGCGAAAGCCUGAUCCAGCAAUGCCGCGUGCAGGAUGAAGGCCUUCGGGUUGUAAACUGCUUUUGUACGGAACGAAAAGCCCUGGGUUAAUACCCUGGGGUCAUGACGGUACCGUAAGAAUAAGCACCGGCUAACUACGUGCCAGCCGCCGCGGUAA
rnacentral:rRNA from 1 species